rnacentral:rRNA from 1 species
CAGUCGCCGCGGUAAUACAGAGGGUGCGAGCGUUAAUCGGAUUUACUGGGCGUAAAGCGUGCGUAGGCGGCUUCUUAAGUCGGAUGUGAAAUCCCUGAGCUUAACUUAGGAAUUGCAUUCGAUACUGGGAAGCUAGAGUAUGGGAGAGGAUGGUAGAAUUCCAGGUGUAGCGGUGAAAUGCGUAGAGAUCUGGAGGAAUACCGAUGGCGAAGGCAGCCAUCUGGCCUAACACUGACGCUGAGGUACGAAAGCAUGGGGAGCAAACAGGAUUAGAUACCCCAGUAGUCCCUGUCUCUUAUAU